rnacentral:rRNA from 1 species
UAUUUCCCGAUUUUAAGAGGAGUUAAUGGUUUAUUUUAGUUACUGUUUUAUUAGUAUUAAUAAUAUAUUGUUGGUAGUGAAAUGUUAUUCGUCUUUGUUGGUAUCUGGUUUUCUGAGAAAUGAAUUUAAUUCAUGCGUCUUAUUAUAGAUUUAUUAUUUUUUUAUUAGGUUUUAAUAUGUCGUUAAGAUUGAGGGGGAUUAGCUCCUUUUUUUAUUUAUUAUAAUUUUGCUUUGUUUUUAAUUUUUGUUGAUUUUAUAGUGAUUUUCUAUUUGAUUAUGUUAAAAUUUUAUUUAUCUUUUGUUUUAUUUAUUUAUUGUUUAAUUUUUUAUUGGAAUGUUAUUUUUAAUUUUUGUUGUUUUGUAAUUAUUGUGUAAUUAGUAAAUUUGGUUUUUAUUAUGUCUAAUUGGUUUUGAUAAUUUCUUUUGAGGAAUUAGGCAAAUAUUGUUGUGUCCGCCUGUUUAACAAAAACAUCUUUUCUUGUUAGUUUUUGAAGUAUGGCCUGCCCACUGAGUGUUUUGAAGGCCCGCGGUAUUUUGACCGUGCAAAGGUAGCAUAAUCAUUAGUUCUUUAAUUGUGAUCUGGAAUGAAUGGCUUGACGAGAUGCAAACUGUCUUAGGUUUGGAGAAAUUUUAGUUGAAUUUGGUUUCUGGGUUAAAAUACUCAGAUUUUUUUAUGGGACGAGAAGACCCUAUAGAGUUUUACACUUUUAUUUAUUGUUAUUAUUUAGUUUGGUUUUGUUUUUAAAUAAGUUUAUGUGUUUUGUUGGGGUGAUGGGAAGAAUUUGUUUAACUCUUCUUUAUUUUAUAUACAUUUAUGUGUGUUAUUGUGAU